UCUGAAUGUGAUAGUAGCUUACCUGCCAAAUGAGCCAAACUUCAUGGUACCAGUUCUGAAUAUAAAGUGGUGUGUUUAUUAGAUUAGUCAACAUUAUAUGACAAACAUAUUGAACAUGGGUUUGCUAUUUAAUAUAAUGUAGCUCAAUAUGUGUUUACUCUCCCUUGCCAGCUUGCAGUCAGGGGUUGGAUGAAGGAGCCCAAGCCAAAGGUCACUGAGAACACUGAUCCCAAUGUGGAGAAGGCUGCCAAGGUUGGAGCCAAGAAGACUAAGGACAAGGAAGCCGAAGCUGAGAAGAAAAUGUCUACAGCCAAAAAGCAGAAGGAGA
rnacentral:lncRNA from 1 species